rnacentral:rRNA from 1 species
AUUGAACGCUGGCGGCAUGCUUUACACAUGCAAGUCGAACGGCAGCGCGGGGCAACCUGGCGGCGAGUGGCGAACGGGUGAGUAAUAUAUCGGAACGUACCCAGAAGUGGGGGAUAACGUAGCGAAAGUUACGCUAAUACCGCAUACGAUCUACGGAUGAAAGUAGGGGACCGCAAGGCCUUAUGCUUUUGGAGCGGCCGAUAUCUGAUUAGCUAGUUGGUGAGGUAAAGGCUCACCAAGGCGACGAUCAGUAGCUGGUCUGAGAGGACGACCAGCCACACUGGAACUGAGACACGGUCCAGACUCCUACGGGAGGCAGCAGUGGGGAAUUUUGGACAAUGGGCGCAAGCCUGAUCCAGCAAUGCCGCGUGAGUGAAGAAGGCCUUCGGGCUGUAAAGCUCUUUUGUCAGGGAAGAAACGGUAGAGGCUAAUAUCCUUUGCUAAUGACGGUACCUGAAGAAUAAGCACCGGCUAACUACGUG